rnacentral:misc_RNA from 1 species
GAUGAAGAACGCAGUGAAAUGCGAUACGUAAUGUGAAUUGCAGAAUUCAGUGAAUCAUCGAGUCUUUGAACGCACAUUGCGCCCCUUGGUAUUCCAUGGGGCAUGCCUGUUCGAGCGUCAUUUGUACCUUCAAGCUUUGCUUGGUGUUGGGUGUUUGUCUCGCCUUUGCGUGUAGACUCGCCUUAAAAUAAUUGGCAGCCGGCGUAUUGAUUUCGGAGCGCAGUACAUCUCGCGCUUUGCACUCAUAACGACAGCGUCCAAAAGUACAUUUUACACUCUUGACCUCGGAUCAGGUAGGGAUACCCGCUGAACUUAAGCAUAUCAAUAAGCGGAGGA